UCAUCCAGAGACUUUGAGGUCACUGUCACAGAUGCGGUCGUCUCAACAGCACAGUUUCACCUCCAUUUCCAGAAGCUUCACACCUUCACCAGCUUCCACUGGAACCACAGAGCAGUCUGGACAGAGUCAGUCUGAGAGAACAUCUACAGGUGGUGUCAGCGGGACACAAACGUCUUCUCAAACUGCUGCAGAUGUUCUCCUGUAUGUGGGCCUGACUCUGGCUGUCACCAUCAUCAUCAUUUCAGUGGCUGUGCUGAUUUCCUGCAAGAAAAGAUCUUCUAAAGUAAAGGACCCUUUUGUUGAAAUAUUACAUACUACGAUCACAGAUGUAAGUGUGAAGCUCUUCUACUCACAUCAUUACAUAAACCUCCACCACCCUCUGCACCCAGAACCUAUGCUGUCAGGGGUCAUGUGCCUGCCUGAUCUGAACUUGAUUGGGCCUCUGUGUUAAUCACAGCUUGUCCAUAACAAACACCAUGUUUGAGCAUAAGGGUGUUCGUGAGUGGACAUUUGGCCAGGACAUGCCAACUCAGGUGAAUGUUGUAGUUGUUUCAGAUCUGUGGCAUCUGACAGAGACUAAUCAGUCACAUCGUCUUUUUCUCCAGAAGAACGUUAAGAGCUUUCUGAGGGACGUUAGAGACACUGAGCUGACAGGUACCGGCAGGCCAAGCAAAGUGCAGCUCCUGCUGUAACCACAGCAACAGCUCAGGUGUGGGAAGAGUUCCACUCACACUGUGUACAAUGAAGAUGCUGACUUCAGCUGAGGCCUCAGUCAGGUGAUGGUAGGAUCAUGGUGGGUCUGUCACCAAAUCUAUUGUUAAUUUUCACCGGAUGGAUGGAAACAAAAAUCUAAUUAGAUGAUUUUUAAAUGAUUCUAACUCUCACUCCACUUUGCAAAGUCCAGCUCUCUACAUCGGAUUGGCUGUAGUUGUGACAGUGAACAUUAAACAGUAAUCUGAGUGUCAGAGCCGAUCAGAGUCAGAGCACUAGUGCAUCUUUAAUGAAUACGCUGCCUGUGAGUGAAGCUACGACACAGAAAGCUGAACACAGACACAAAGAACCAUAAAUGACAACGAAACACAGCAAAGUGGCUCCAUUGGUUUUAUUACAGACACUUUCCUUCCUGUAAGACCUUUGUGACUGAGGCCUUACUCGCCUGCGUGGACUCUUUACUCGUCUAUUCUUUGACCCGGUUUGUGUUGAUGAGCAGAAAUAUUACUGAAAAUGUGACAGCUGAUGAUCAGUUGUGCCUGUUUUCUUUUUCAGGAUGAAGACAACUCCAGGACUGUGAUGAAUGUUUCCGACAAGGCCUUCGGCUUUCUAAACAGCGCCCCCUAUAGUCACACCAAUGAAGUCAUCUACUCUGUACCUCGGGUACAUGAAGCCCACUAUGAGAAUUGGACUCCAACUUGUGCAAUGUAAAGGCUCAACCUACCAGAACAUGGAUCCAAUCAGCAGAGACUUGGACCAAACCUGCUCUGCACUCAUAUCACAGGAGACUCUCUGGAUUUGAUCAUUUUCCAGCCUCAGACUGAAGUUUGUUCACAGAUGCUGAAAACUGAGAAUCGAUAAACUACAUAAUCCUUUCAAAAUUACGAACACUGAAUUGCGUAAUUUCUAUCAUAAUGAAUUUGCUUCUUUAUGUAAAUUUAAUAAUGAUCAAAACCAAUCACAGCACAGAAACAGCUCUUACUAAAGACAUCAGUGACCUGAAGGUCCACAGUGACCCACAGAGAGUCUCAGUUUUAGAGCUUCUCACUGCUGCCUUCAACAUUGUUGAUGAAACGCUAAUUCAAAGACUGUGAUUCGGACGGUUUAACAUGUCAGGUCCUCGACUGACUCUCAUCAUAUCAAAAGUUUAGAAGUUUUUAUGUUUGAUCCGGUAAAUUCCAUCAGGAGUUGGAUCUGCC
ensembl:lncRNA